AGUCGAGGAAAGAUCAACCUUACUUUGUCAUCCACCGUACUGCUUGUAAGUUAUAUGUUGUAACUAACUAUCCUAUUGAAAAAGUAUAGUUAGAAUUCGAGACCUCUCUCUACCUUAUCCUCUCCCACAUCUAUCUAACCUAAGGCGACCUUUCAAAGCAAGUUGAGCUCCGACAGCCUCAUCUUCUGUUUUCGUCUCCUUCUCUUUUCGACCUGCUCCAGGCCCCCAUAUACAAUAGCCUGGCUUCGCCCCUGGUUGCUACUCAGUUGCAGUUGUAACAGUUUCUGCAUUCACUGGCUAGUGUGAACGUUAAGAGUCAUUGUGAGCCGGUUGUGUGGACUGUGGGCUGUUUGUAAGUCACUGAUCGAAACCGUUUGUCUGUUGAUGUUCUUCCUCAGCAGUGACUAUAUUGUUCAGCUACUAUGCGUAUUUUAACAGGUGACAUAAAGCAGUUUAAAUACUCUAAUAUUAUCCCCCCAAAGGUCAAGCAUCAGAACCAUUUUAAUUGGCCGGGAACCAGCUGCAUCUUACAUUAGUAAACGUAAAGCUAUACUAAAUAGAUGGUGGUACCAACAGCUUAUGACUCUUGAGCAUCUCAGAGGUGGAAGAGAUGGAAGGUGAGUUAGGACGAAAAUUGCGAUGAUGAAGUCAAGGUUCUUAUUACUUCUUUAAGGGGCAUAGAUGUAGGUUGAUUUUUAAUGUUGUUCGUUAUAAAUCACAUGUUGCAUUGCUGCUAUUAAAUUUCGUUCUUUCCUA